ensembl:misc_RNA Y_RNA Y RNA
GGCUGGUCCAAUUGAGUGCGGUGGUGUUUACGACUAAUCGAUUACAACCAUUUGCAAAUGUCUUUGUUCUUUCUCCACUCCCACUGCUUCACUCGAUUAGCCUUAA